GGAUUUGGCCGGGGCUGCUGCAGCCUUUAAUAAAGACGGGGGGGUUGGCAGCUGUGCUGUUGUCCUCCUCCCCCUGCGAUGGAGGUGAUGUGUUUAUUUGGCCUGCAUUGAGAAGUUGUGAGAUGUAACUAUCUACUCACUGGACUCAGCAGACUGCCAGAGAAUCUGCAGAAUCAAACCGCCGCACAGUGACAGCAAUCAGCUGAUCCCAUAAUUCAUAUUCUACUCAAAAAGUCCUAGAAAUCCCAAGUUUUGUUCUUAUAUAAACUUAUCUAAAACACAACCGAAUGUGUUUCUUCCAAAGUCUGCCAAACCACAACUAUUUAAGUUAGUCUCACAAGGUUCCUAAAUUUGCAAAAUCAGGGAGAACAUAUGGGACUGCACAGGUGAAAUGUGGCGACCUGGCAAACAGUCCAAAGACUCGUAAGACUUGGGAGCAUGUCAGAAAAUGCUGGGAGUACUGGCACAAACAGAACCCAGAAUGUGGAUCAGACAGACACCCGGCACUCGUUAGUUUAUUGCUCUCUUAUUAGGAACAUUUUUAAUGCUUUGCUUGGACUGGCAGAGUCCUGCCAGCCACCCUCUUCAAAUGGCCCAGGCUCUGUCAGAGCUGAUCAAAAGACAUUUCUUCACAUCUCCAGACGCCAGGGAAAAAAGGAGAAGAAAAGAGGGAGAGAAGAAAAGAGCCAGAAGGGGGCAUACUGCUCUCUCUUUACUCCAGUCUUCUGGUGAAUGAGGACUUUCACAAUACCCUCUCCUUUUUUAAUUUAUUUUUUUCAUUCUUCCACUGGUUUAAAAAAAAAAAAAAAAAAAAAACACAGAAGGAAAAAUAUAUUCCCCGUCACGUUUUGCUGAAUUUUUCUUGCCAUAUCAAAAACAAUUAUCCUCAGGUGAAGAAUGCACCUGCACAAUUCCAGAGAGAGAAAGAGGUCUUUACAAAAGUGAGUGGCUUCCAGGCAGCCAAGACCCCCUCGAAGUGGUAAUGAAAAGUGCAACUUUAGCCUCCCAGCUGUAUGUCUCAAUCCAUAAUCCUUCCCCAAAAACCUCACCGUAGAGCCGCCUACCACUCCUAUGGCGUUCCCAGCCUUUGCCGGGCUGGGCCUGCACUGAUUUAUGUGGGACUCCCGUGUCAUACUCCCGACCUGAAAGGAUCUGCUCUCCUAUAUUUACCGGGGUGGUCAGGGCAGCUCCCUGGAAGCACACUCACUCCCCAUCUCUUUACUGCUCUGUCUCCACAGCGUGGAUGUUUGGGACCUGAUCAGAAACAGCUGAGACUCCAGUGUUUUUAUGUGGAACUGUUCUCCCCAGAGGUCAGAGUCCAUGCACUCCUGUCUCACAGCCACAUGGCCGCGUUUUGGUAUGCAGAUACACAGACGCAGGCCGCCUGGCUGCAAUGACCCACUCAAUGGCUGAUGCCCUUGACAAGUCAAGAAAUGGAUCCUGUCAGCCUCCACAGCAUUUAGCACCACAAUUAUCCCCUUUCACAGCCUGGCUGAAUCAGUGUAAGCCACACCAGGCAGCAAGUUGCCACUCAGUGAUGAGCAUGAUGUGGCGCACCAUCUCUGGGUGAGCAAUUUGAAGCAAUUGUGUUGCUGUGUGUGAUCAUCAGUGCAAAUCAGGGCCUGCUCAUUUAUUAAGCAAUUUCUGUUUGAGAAAAUUAGAGGGAAAGCGCUUUUAAUUUGGCGGAGAUAGAUAGCAAUAUCGCUAAAAGCAACAAUAGUGCAAAAUGUAGGUGACAUCAAACCAUAAAGGGAGGAGUGAAUAAAUAGACUGCAUUACCUCAUCAGGGAUGGGUCAUCUAAUCUGGGAGAAGUGGCCAUCCUCAAGCGGCCACAGCUCGGACAAAAGUGGCCAAGAUUUGCUCCCUGGAUGGGAAAAAUGAGUCACUGCAUAGGUUGUGCGUGCAGGACCCAUCUUCUGGCCUUCACUGACCUUUGGCUCUGACAGUGGCUAAUGGAGGGCUGGCCCGCGAUCAAUGCACUGCGAGACUGGGCUCCCGAAUGUUGCUCUUUCACCGGGCCAGGAUGGGAGCGAUGCUGCCAGAAGCCACGCUGUGGACCCAUCGACCCUGCCACUUUCCCAUCCGUGGGUGACAGCUGCAGCGCCAAGGAGCUUAGGGACGCCACGCUGCCCUGCCACGUACGAAGGACAGCCAGCAAUUCUGUCUCUGUGGCAGUGGGAGGGAAAGUCACAAAUGAUCUACUUCUGAAUGUCACAUCUACGUAAACAUCCUCUGCAUGUGACAGUAGUCAGACCUGAGCUACAAUUGAAAGACAAAGCGAGAACUUCCAUUUGUGUUUCCGUCUCAAGACUUUUUUUGAAGCCACUCAUUUUCUGAAGUUGCAGGAAACUGAACUACUGACACAUGAAAACUGCAUGAAACAUUGUUUUAUGCACUUGGACCAAAAGUUUUGAGCUUUUUGUCUGUUAAAAGCAUAUCAACAGAAUCUUUAAACUUUCUUUUUUUCAAAUGUAAAAGUUGUGUUUAUAGUUGAAGCGUUUUUUUUUGUUGUUGUUGUUUUUUUUAUGGGAGGCGGGCUUCUAUUUGGCAUUCGAUGUGCACUUAAAAUGUUACCGUAGGGAAUAUAUCUUCUUUUUGCACCAUGUUGCUAAGAUGCCUGAUGUUGUGCAUCAUGUAUUUUGUCAUCCAGAUGGUGCACUGCUGUAUACCUUUUAUCUGAGAACUCUUUGUUUUUUCCUUUUUGUUUUUGUAUAUCAAUACACAAUGCUUGCAUGAAAAUAAAAACAUUUAUUGUGUGUUUUAA